UGGCGAACGGGUGAGUAACACGUGACCAACCUGCCUCUUACAUUGGGACAACCAAAAGAAAUUCUGGCUAAUACCAAAUACUCCGCACAUAUCACAUGAUGUAUGCGGGAAAGCUUUUGCGGUAAGAGAUGGGGUCGCGGCCCAUUAGGUAGACGGCGGGGUAGAAGCCCACCGUGCCGAUGAUGGGUAGCCGGGUUGAGAGACCGACCGGCCACAUUGGGACUGAGAUACGGCCCAGACUCCUACGGGAGGCAGCAGGC
rnacentral:rRNA from 1 species